GGAGCUUGCUCCUUUGACGUUAGCGGAAAACGGGUGAGACGUGGGCAACCUACCCUAUAGUUUGGGAUAACUCCGGGAAACCGGGGCUAAUACCGAAUAAUCUCUUUUGCUUCAUGGUAAGAGACUGAAAGACGGUUUCGGCUGUCGCUAUAGGAUGGGCCCGCGGCGCAUUAGCUAGUUGGUGAGGUAACGGCUCACCAAGGCGACAAUGCGUAGCCGACCUGAGAGGGUGAUCGGCCACACUGGGACUGAGACACGGCCCAAACUCCUACGGGAGGCAGCAGUAGGGAAUCUUCCACAAUGGGCGAAAGCCUGAUGGAGCAACGCCGAGUGAGUGAAAAAGGUUUUCGGAUCGUAAAACUCUGUUGUAAGGGAAGAACAAGUACAGUAGUAACUGGGUGUACCUUGACGGUACCUUAUUAAAAAGCCACGGCUAACUACGUGCCAGCAGCCGCGGUAAUACGUAGGUGGCAAGCGUUGUCCGGAAUUAUUGGGCGUAAAGCGCGCGCAGGCGGUCCUUUAAGUCUGAUGUGAAAGCCCACGGCUCAACCGUGGAGGGUCAUUGGAAACUGGGGGACUUGAGUGCAAAAGAGGAAAGUGGAAUUCCAAGUGUAGCGGUGAAAUGCGUAAAGAUUUGGAGGAACACCAGUGGCGAAGGCGACUUUCUGGUCUGUAACUGACGCUGAGGCGCGAAAGCGUGGGGAAGCAAACAGGAUUAGAUACCCUUGGUAGUCCACGCCCGUAAACAAUGAGUGCUAAGUGUUAGGGGGUUUCCGCCCCUUAGUGCUGCAGCUAACCGCCAUUAAGCACUCCCCCCCUGGGGAAGUAACGGUCGCAAGAACUGAAACUCAAAAAAGGAAUUGACGGGGGCCCGCAACAAGCGGUGGAGCAUGUGGUUUAAUUCGAAGGCACGCGAAGAACCUUACCAGGUCUUUGGACAUCCUGUUGAACACUUGUAAAAGUAUUAUAGUUCCCCUUCGGGGGCAACGGUGACAGGUGGUGCCAUGUUUGUCGUCAGCUCGGUGAAAUGUUGGGGUAAAUCCCGCAACGGGCACACUUGAUCUAUGACUCACUUAUGUGCGGCACCUUA
rnacentral:rRNA from 1 species